GAGGGUAUAGCUCAGUGGUAGAGUGCCUGUCUGGCAUGCAUGAGGUCCUGGGUUCCAUUCCCAGUACCUCCA
rnacentral:tRNA from 1 species